GCGAGAGGAGGUCCUCAGGACUAAAUCUAAAACACACAGGUUCUUUGUAUCAAGGAGUGGAGCAUGGGAUAAUCAGGAUGCAGCCAUUUAUUUACAUCCAUCCUAAGCAGGAAUAUCACCUCACAAACAAACAUUACUAACAAUACAUUUCUCACAAUUCUCAUUCAGUUAAACGUUGGUGUUACAACACUCACGGAGGAUGUGUCUAGGUGGACUAUGGGCGCCAGCAAACACUACAUUUACCAUUGUACUUAAAAAAUCAACAACAAAAAAAAUCAACCCAGUUAAACCACCGCUCCUGUCCAAGGGGAUCUCUCUGAUUAACGCAAACAGGAAGGCUUUUCUACAAAAGGUCACGCCCUUAAAGGGGCAAUCAGUAGUUGUCACAUCAUUUUUUUAAUAUGUACACAUUAAUUCUUGAAGAAUGUAACUUAUAAAUGCCUCAUGAGCUUAGUGCAACUCUCUUACCCCAUCAGAAGCUUGUUCAACUCCAAUUUAAUAAAACACUAUAUAGCCUCAAAACAUUGUUAAAACUAUUAUUUUGAUAUCAUGGAUGGUCAGUCCAUGCAUCCAAAGCGCGUCUAUGAAUUUGAGAGUGGUUACAUUUCUCCAGCCCCAUCCCUCAAUUUUUUACCAAAACUGGCAGGAAGUAAGCUUUGUUACUGUUUCUACUGCCGUUUGCAGUUUUUAAUUAACAAUCAUUUAUAUCUGGCACUGGCAGACCAACAAGGGUGCGUUCACAAUAGGUUGAUCAGCCUCUCUCAUCUGUUCAUCAUUUCCUUGUUCUACGCAGCCAAGGAAACCUUUGGACCAUGAAAGGAACCUCACACAAUGGCUCUUCCAUAUUCUUAUUAAAUGAUCCUGGCACUUGCUUGUCAAUUUGUUCAUGUUUGUUUUCAAGACGUCACACCAGGAAGAGAGUACUCAGGAGGACUAGAAAAGGUUUCCACAAAGGACCAAUGGACCCUGACCCACUGGCAUUGGGCUGCGCAACCCUGGCUUUAUCAUGCUCUGGUACCACUAAGCUGCUGGUCAGGUAGGAUCCGGUACUGGGGAUCCACAGGGAGCAGUUGUAGGCCUCUUCCCCAGAGACUGUCUUUCUUUUCAGGGAACUAGUUAUAGUCAAUGACGCUCCAUCUUCCACUUGUUUAGUGUUGAUUGUAGAGUCCCCAGUCACGUUGUUGGGUCCCUGGAACCAGUGCACCUCGCCAUCAGGAUAGACCCCAGUGAAGGUGCAGGUUGGGCCCUCAUCACUGAUACUGGGCUGGGCCUCCUUGUAGGACUCUGAAUGGAAACAGAGAACGUUUUUUAAAAACACAGAAUAUGGCUGAGGUUGGAGAGUUCUUGAGAAAUUGUGCAAUGCGGUUCUGUAAGCCCCGACACCAUUAGUCAUACAUUUUGCUCAGUAGAGGCACGGUAAAGUCCCUUGUACUUCCUGGUGGUUAGGCAAUGUCCAUUUGCUAUGUCCAUUAUAGGAGGACUGGCUCAUUGUAAUGUAAUGGCUGGAAUGGAAUUAAUGGAACAGAAUCAAACAUGACUACCAUUCCAUUUAUCCCAUUCCAGCCAUUACAAUGAGCCAGUCCUCCUGUAGCUCCUCCCACCAUCCUCUGGCCAAUGGCGUUGGACUACAUGCAUGACAGAUGUCUAGGUUAUGACAGUAUUACAUGAGUGAGAAUGGGCUAGGACACUCGCCUUGCAGCUUCACCAUUGUAGUGGCCUCCUUUACUCCAUGACUGGAGCGCAGCUUGCACAAGUACUUUCCCUGAUCCAGUGGUCGUACCUGCAGCAGAGUCAGGGACAGCUGUGUCUGUGGGGUAUAACUACACUCCAUAGCACUAGUUGUGCUCCCUGGGUGGGUCCCGGUCACUUCAGUUCCGUUAACAUCACACAGGUGCUUCCCGUCCUGGCGGACCCAGGCCAGAUGUUUGAUCAACAGUCCCUCCUGGGAGGUGGAGAUGUUACAUUGGAGGCGGACACUCUGGUGACACCACACAAUGACAGAGUCAACAGUGCUUAGCUUCACCAGCUCUGUGG
rnacentral:lncRNA from 1 species